AUGCACGCUGGCGGCGUGCCUCAUCCCUGCCAGUCGCACGAAACUUCUUUAUCACCGAGUGCUUGCACUCACCGAUAAAGAGUUGAGUGGCGAACGGGUGAGUAACACGUGGGCAACCUGCCCAAAAGAGGGGGAUAACACUUGGAAACAGGUGCUAAUACCGCAUAACCAUAGUUACCGCAUGGUAACUAUGUAAAAGGUGGCUAUACUACCGCUUUUGGAUGGGCCCGCGGCGCAUUAGCUAGUUGGUAGGGUAAAGGCUUACCAAGGCAAUGAUGCGUAGCCGAAUUGAGAGGUUGAUCGGCCACAUUGGGACUGAGACACGGCCCAAACUCCUACGGGAGGCAGCAGUAGGGAAUCUUCCACAAUGGGCGAAAGCCUGAUGGAGCAACGCCGCGUGGGUGAAGAAGGUCUUCGGAUCGUAAAACCCUGUUGUUAGAGAAGAAAGUGCGUGAGAGUAACUGUUCACGUUUCGACGGUAUCUAACCAGAAAGCCACUGCUAACUACGUG
rnacentral:rRNA from 1 species